rnacentral:lncRNA from 1 species
UCUCCUUCUCUGGCACAGGAACAGUCCGAGAUUGCAGUGGAUGAGCAGGAACUCCUGAAGGCCCUUCACUUUGUUUUUUUGUUUUUUCCUUUUGUUUCUUCAAUUUGAUUUCUUCAAGUGUUUUUAUUCCAAAAUUCAAGCUGUCAUCUUGUUUUGUAUCAGCAUUAGAUUUCCUAGUAGAAAUUAUCCGCAAUCCAUUAUGGUUUUCUUCAGCUGGUUGCUGGACAGGUGUUUUUGUUUCUUCUCCCUCCUCAGAAAGCUGGUCAUCAUCAUCUUCAUCAUCAUCUGCAGCAUUGAUUACAACUGGAGGAUGUGUAGGGCUUGGGACAUUUUCUGAGUUUUCCACUUUCAUCACUCCCCUCAACUGUGGAGAAGGAUUGGACUGCACAGAAAGCUUGUUCUGCUGCAGCGUUAUCUGAGCUGCCUUCAGAUCGUCAUCUGCAGACUCCGGUGGACUCGGCAGCGUAGCUAGAGGAAGGAGAGGAUCAUCAGGAAUUUAAAACUUUGACCCCAACAUCACAACCACUGCACAAAGAUGGCAGACAAGGCUGACAACCUGCACAGAUAAAUGUUGAGUCUCUAGCUGCCCAUCCAAUCACUGGCUAUACUCUGUGAACAAAGAAUACCCCCCCCACACAUAACACUCACCUCCAUACCACCCAGUAAAAGCUUAAACACAG